CAACAAUGGGUCAGCGACGGACAACACAGUGCAGACUGAGGGGUCAGGGCACGCUUCAUGGAAGAGUGCCAGGCGAGGUGUCCGGCGAGGUGUCACAGCCCUGGCAGUAGAGAGUGGUUCGCUCAUGGGUAGCAAGAAGAAUUUACCAACAACAGCAUAGGCUUGAAAUGGAAUAUCGUAUUAGAUGGAAAGAAACGCUGCAGCCGAGUGCAGAGGGGCAUCUCAGCAAGAGAGGACUAAGUGCACUGCGGUGGAUUGUCCUUCGUGUCUCUCUUCUUAGAGGCAGACUCACUUGGCCUGAGCUUGUCCUUGUGAAAUGGCCUGAGGUUCCCUGGACACUUGUGCAGCGGCAUGGUCCUUCUUCAUGCCCUUCCUUCCAUAAGUCACUCUCGAGCCAGACAGCGAGCCAGACAGUGGGUUUAAACCUGAGCUGCACCUCAUGCUGGCUGGGUUUCCUUUGUGCUGAACACAUCUGCCUUCCCAGUAGACACUGACCGAGCCUCUGAAGAACAAGUUUUUCCCUUCUUGUGUCCCAGGCUUGCUGAAGGGCGUGGCAUUUAAAUGUCUGUAUUUACUUGAAUCGCACAUUAUUGAAUCGGAUAAAACUGAAAGAUUUUCAGGAGAAGACAAUGUCUAACUAUUGACAGACAAACUUGUACGUCUACUUGCAACUACCCACACCUGGGAGCUCGUUAAGAGCACCAAACCUUGGGUUCCAUCCCAAAACUACUGGAUCAAAAUCUGCAUAUUUAACAAGAUCUCCAGGGCCUGACUCUAGAACUUCCAAUCAGAAUCUUUGAGAUGGUCCAGAAACGCACGUUUUUAAUGAGUUCUCCUCCAUGUAAAGUUCACAUCAGUGCUGAAGAGAUUCUGCAGCCAUAAAGGUGGAUGUUUCCAUGAGUGUUUGGGACACCAACUCAUCCUCAUUAGACAUUAGAUCCAUGCUGGGAAUCCUCAGGUCAGCAAUUUGAACCAGCCCCAGAUCCACCGAAGCUGCAGUCGGAAGAACAAGACACAGAGAAGGAGUGGCAAGAACAAGAAAGCUUCCGAGAGUGCAAGCGUUUUUUUUUUCUUUAUCGGAUUCGACGCUCUGGAGAAAAUUAAACAGGAUUGCACUUUCUAUCGAAUAAAGUACACUCAUUCUUCAGAAUCAUAGAUUGUGAAUCUAACAAUCUUGCUGAGAAUGGAUACUCUGACUUCCAGAGACUUGAUGACUUUGUUUCCUCUCUUCUCCCGUAAUUUUACGUGUGAUAAGUGGAUGUUGGCAGCUUCUCCAAAUAAGGCAUGAAUCAAGAAUGUACUCUCAACGUGAAAUAGCAAGCCAAAGAUUGAUUAUAUCUACUUAAGUCUAUGAUAAAAAUGGACACCAGCUUGCCAAAUUAUUUCAGCUGCCAAGAACACCAACCACCAAAGUAUCAGGACAGAUGGAUUUCACCAAAGCCUUGAUAUAAUCUGAGGAAAAGAAACUCAGGGAAAAUGUGCUGAUCCAUCAUUUAAGGGGCAAAGGUAUCCUCCUGUACUGGUGUUUGUUGGUAAAUGUUGAAACCAAUUAUGUGUUAAUAAUCAUGUUUUAGUUUCUCUUUUAAGUUUCAUUUUCUAUGUACCACAUUGAAUAAUACUCAGAUGAAGUUAGAUUAUAAUUUCUUUUCAGCUCAAGAAAAGUAAGCAAAUGUAUAGUCAGGGCUAUUUUAACUGGAAAAAAAAAACCUACUACUGACAGUGUCUUACAAGAAAGAUGUUUAAUUUUUUAUGUUAUAAAAAAUGUGGAGGCACAUGUUUUAUGUAUGUCAGCAGUCAAAUGGUGACAGGACCUUGGAUAAACAUCUGGGUUCUCUAGGAUCCCACCUAAUGUUUGCAAGAAGAUUGUAAGUAUAUUCUCCUAUAGCAGCAUCUAAAGAAGAGAAGAUGGAGCUAAUUCUCAUAUCAGUAUUUUCUUAAAUGAAUAAUCUUAACCCAAAACACUGCUAGAUAAAUUCAUUUUGCUCCUCAUUGGCUGGAUUGGGUCAUAUGGUCACCUAUAGCUACAGAGAGGAUGAGAGAGUGAGUACCUGAAACAGUGAUUGGAAUAAACCUAACCAUGAUCUACUGCUAGAGAGGUGGCACUUAGACAGAGUGAUGAUGCCUAAACUUCUAGAAGUAGAGUUAUCUGGCUCCUCUAAGACCUAGACUAACUGUAGGUCAUUGAUAAGCCAAACAUCUGAUUAAGAAUCACAUUGGAAGACUUCUCAUCAUUUUUGUCUUUGUAAAUAAAGGACCCCUAUCUAACUUUA
rnacentral:lncRNA from 1 species